CGUAGCCAGGGUUCACCUCAUAAAUCACCUGGACAGAUUGAACUUGGGGCAGAAGAAGACACAAAAGGAGAGGAGCUGUGAUUCAGACUCCAUGAACUCUGGUGGCUGUGUCCUGCUACAGGGAUGUGCGUGGCAUGAGCCAAACAGUGAGGGCCACCUGUCACCAAAAGCAUCUUCACGGUGGAGGGAGCACCACGAGGUGACUUUGAACAAGGUAUGUCACUUCCUGACGCCAACGCCGGCUCCUCUGCAGCUGCGUGGAAGGGCCACUUCAGAAACCAGCAACUCUUCAGCUUCCCAGGCCUUUUAGAGCUCCCUGAUGGCCAGGAGGUUUUCCUAGAUCCCCCAGCAGAAAGUCAGGAAGAAGAUGCGACUGUGGCCACCCCAGCCCGUGGCUACUGAUGCUCCCCCCUCGCUAGCCUCCCCCCCCCCGCCCCGAUGCCACCAGCCCGAAGCCGCCGGUCAGG